GAGGGUGGAGGCCAUGCUGAAGAACAGGUAAAAUGGUAUAGAGCAUGGGCUUUGAAGGUCAGAUCUGGUCUAGAAUCUUAGCUUGAGUUUACCAGGCCCCCCUUUCAUCAUCUAUGGCAUGGAGAUAGUAAUGCCUACUACCUCAUAAGGUCAUAAAGAUGAAAAUGAAGUAACAGAGUAUUGCUCAAUAAAAGCUACCCCAUGCUUUGUAGUUUAGUCUUGAAACAGUAGGGUGACAAUUUCAUCUAUGAAGACAAAGUAAAAUCAAGUGCUAUAGGAAGAACAGCAUGCUCUGUGGGGCUGGCUUACAUGAGUAUAUUGCUUUUAACUUUCAAAGCAUAUUCACAACUAUUGUCUCAUUUGAUCCUUGUAUGAGCCUGGAGUACCCCAAAAUGCAGAGCCUGAGAGAAAAGCUUGUAUGUAGAUAGUUUAUGUUAGGAAGUGAUCUGAAAGAACAGGUGGGAGACUGCUCAGAGUGAAACAGGCUGAGGGAAAACCCAAUGCUGUAUAGCAUUUUACCUGUGUUCUUCAGCAUGGCCUCCACCCUCCCUGUCUUCUCACCCAACAGUGGCCCCCAUUCUAGCCGUAGCCAACACACCUUGCCCUGUUGUGCUCCUAUUCUGCUCUGUCAGCCCCUGUGAUCUUCAGAGCCCAAACUGUGCUCUUGGCCCGUUGCCUCUGGGAGUAAUGGGCUUAAUUCCUAUAGGGGCCUUCUGAGGAGCUCUGUGGAAUGGACACAGAAUUUUACCCCCAGACACGGAAAAAGUGAAUAUUUACGUACUAGCUCUUCUCCCUCUUGGUCCAGAGUUAUCUCAUGCAGUUAAUUCCCUUGUACUCCCAGGUAUGGGCAUGCCUCAGACUGGCUGACUGGGUUCUUACUGGCAUCUCGUGGAGGAGGAAGCAUAGGGCAGAAAGCAGGUGGUGUGCUGUGCAGCUGAGGUGAAGUAUUGUCAGGUCACACCUGCAGGCAAAUGAGAGCUGCAGCAGCAACUGGAGUAAAAAGAUGGACUGAGAGGAAGUGAGGCACGCACAAGAGGUACAAGAAGACCCAAAUGGCCAGGAGAUAGUCAUAGCUUCAAAUUAAAGUGAAAUCCUGUUAUACUGUGAUUUAUAAUAAAUAUAUAUUCGGUCUUUG